ACAUCCAGCGAACUUGGCAGAGAUGCCUUGGUGCCUUCGGGAACGCUGAGACAGGUGCUGCAUGACUGUCGUCAGCUCGUGUUGUGAAAUGUUGGGUUAAGUCCCGCAACGAGCGCAACCCUUUAUCCUUUGUUGCCAGCGAUUCGGUCGGGAACUCAAAGGAGACUGCCGGUGAUAAACCGGAGGAAGGUGGGGAUGACGUCAAGUCAUCAUGGCCCUUACGAGUAGGGCUACACACGUGCUACAAUGGCGCAUACAAAGAGAAGCGACCUCGCGAGAGCAAGCGGACCUCAUAAAGUGCGUCGUAGUCCGGAUCGGAGUCUGCAACUCGACUCCGUGAAGUCGGAAUCGCUAGUAAUCGUGGAUCAGAAUGCCACGGUGAAUACGUUCCCGGGCCUUGUACACACCGCCCGUCACACCAUGGGAGUGGGUUGCAAAAGAAGUAGGUAGCUUAACCUCCGGGAGGGCGCUUACCACUUUGUGAUUCAUGACUGGGGUGAAGUCGUAACAAGGUAGGCGUAGCGAG
rnacentral:rRNA from 1 species